rnacentral:rRNA from 1 species
GCGUAGGAGGGCAGGUAAGUCAGUGGUGAAAUCCCCGAGCUUAACUUGGGAACUGCCGUUGAUACUAUCUGUCUUGAAUGUUGUGGAGGUGAGCGGAAUAUGUCAUGUAGCGGUGAAAUGCUUAGAUAUGACAUAGAACACCAAUUGCGAAGGCAGCUCGCUACACAAUUAUUGACUCUGAUGCACGAAAGCGUGGGGAUCAAACAGGAUUAGAUACCCUGGUAGUCCACGCCCUAAACGAUGGAUACUCGACAUCAGCGAUACACUGUUGGUGUCUGAGCGAAAGCAUUAAGUAUCCCACCUGGGAAGUACGACCGCAAGGUUGAAACUCAAAGGAAUUGG